GACAGAGGAUGCGAACGUUGCUCGGAAUUACUGGGCGUAAAGCGUGCGUAGGCGGUCUUGUAAGUCCUGUGUGAAAUCCCUCGGCUCAACUGAGGAACUGCACGGGAAACUGCUUGGCUUGAGUUCGGGAGAGGGAAGCGGAAUUCCGGGUGUAGCGGUGAAAUGCGUAGAUAUCCGGAGGAACACCGGUGGCGAAGGCGGCUUCCUGGACCGACACUGACGCUGAGGCGCGAAAGCUAGGGGAGCAAACGGG
rnacentral:rRNA from 1 species